UACGUAGGGUCCGAGCGUUGUCCGGAAUUAUUGGGCGUAAAGGGCGCGUAGGCGGCUUGGCAAGUCAAAGGUGAAAUCCCUCGGCUCAACUGAGGAACUGCCUUUGAAACUGCCUGGCUUGAGGCCGGGAGGGGGUAGCGGAAUUCCCAGUGUAGCGGUGAAAUGCGUAGAUAUUGGGAGGAACACCAGUGGCGAAGGCGGCUACCUGGACCGGUUCUGACGCUGAUGCGCGAAAGCGUGGGUAGCAAACAGG
rnacentral:rRNA from 1 species